rnacentral:lncRNA from 1 species
UAGGAUUUGAUUUAGGAUUAGGAUUUUUUUAGGAUUUGAUUAGAAUUUGAUUUAGGAUUAGAGUUUGAUUUAAGGUUUAGGAUUUAAUUAGAAUUUGAUUUAGGAUUAGGGUUUGAUUUAGGAUUAGGGUUUGAUUUAGGAUUUAAGAUUUGGUUAGGAUUUGAUUUAGGGUUAGGAUUUGGAUAGGAUUUGAUUUAGAAUUAGGAUUUGGUUUAGGAUUUAGGAUUUGAUUUAGGAUUUAAUAUUUUGUUUAGAGGUGGUUAGGAUUUGAUUUAGGAUUAGGAUUUGAUUAGGAUUUGAUUUAGGAUUAGAGUUUGGUUAGGGUUUGAUUAUGAUUAGGAUUCAGUUUAGGAUUCGAUUUAUGAUUAGGAUUCAGUUUAGGAUUCAGGGUUUAGGAUUUGGUUAGGAUUUGAUUUAAGAUUAGAGUUUGGUUUAAGAUUUAGGAUUUUAUUAGGAUUUGAUUUAGGUUUAGGAUUUGAUUUAGUAUUUAGGAUUUGGUUUAAGAUUUAGGAUUGGUUUAGGAUUUAAGGUUUUGUUAGGAUUUGAUUAAGAUUUAAUUUAGGAUUUAUGAUUUUAUUUGAGAUUGUUUAGAAUUUAAGAUUCAGUUAGUUUUUGGCCUAAAGUUUAAAUGAAGUAAGAUUUAAAUUAGGAUUAAAUUAAGAUUGAAUUGAGAUAUAUUUGAGAUAUAUUUAUAAAAAAUUUAAUAUUUUUUUUAUGUUUUCUUAUUAUUUCUUUGGAUUUUCUUUGAGGUUUUUCUGAAUUUAAUUAAAGUUUAUUUAGCAUUGUGAAUGUUUUAUUAAAAUUAGGAUUUUUUUGUUGUAAUUUCCAUUCUAUCUUCCACAACCAAGUGCCUAGAGCAUUCUCAAGCAAGACUUCAUGUAUUACGACAUCGUAAUGAAAUCCAUAG